UAGGUGUGACAGGUAGUUGCUGGCAGUAGUAUUACUGCGAGAGGAAAGUCCGGGCUACAAGUGAGACAGAACUCCAUCUAACGGAUGGCCAGAGUAAUCUGAGGGCAAGUGCAACAGAGAGUAGUCAGCCGAGCAAUCGGUGAAGGUGAAAGGGUGGGGUAAGAGCCCACCGGUACCUGUGGUAACAUGGGUAGCCAGGUAAACCCUGUUCGUAGCAAGAAGUAUAUGGUAUGAGUCUCACAAGCCAUUGAAUUGGCAUUUAUACUUCGCUCGAGCGUAUUGGCAACAAUGCGCCUAGAUAAAUAACUAUCCACGACAGAACCCGGCUUAUCGUUGCACCUAUAAU
rnacentral:RNase_P_RNA from 1 species